rnacentral:rRNA from 1 species
CUCCUACGGGGGGCAGCAGUGAGGAAUAUUGGUCAAUGGCCGCAGGGCUGAACCAGCCAAGUCGCGUGAGGGAUGACGGUCCUAUGGAUUGUAAACCUCUUUUGUCAGGGAGCAAAUGGCGCCACGUGUGGCGCUUUGCGAGUACCUGAAGAAAAAGCAUCGGCUAACUCCGUGCCAGCAGCCGCGGUAAUACGGAGGAUGCGAGCGUUAUCCGGAUUUAUUGGGUUUAAAGGGUGCGCAGGCGGAAUGUCAAGUCAGCGGUAAAAUUUCGGGGCUCAACCCCGUCGUGCCGUUGAAACUGGCGUUCUUGAGUGAGCGAGAAGUAUGCGGAAUGCGUGGUGUAGCGGUGAAAUGCAUAGAUAUCACGCAGAACUCCGAUUGCGAAGGCAGCAUACCGGCGCUCAACUGACGCUCAUGCACGAAAGCGUGGGUAUCGAACAGGAUUAGAUACCCCAGUAGUC